rnacentral:rRNA from 1 species
CUUGUGUGUUAGUGGAACGGUCUGGAAAGUCCGACGGUACAGGGUGAUAGUCCCGUACACCAAAAUGCACAGGCUGUGAACUCGAAGCGUAGGGCGGGACACGUGGUAUCCUGUCUGAAUAUGGGGGGACCAUCCUCCAAGGCUAAAUACUACUGACUGACCGAUAGUGAACCAGUACCGUGAGGGAAAGGCGAAAAGAACCCCGGCGAGGGGAGUGAAAAAGAACCUGAAACCGUGUACGUACAAGCAGUGGGAGCACCUUAGGGUGUGACCGCGUACCUUUUGUAUAAUGGGUCAGCGACUUAUAUUCUGUAGCAAGGUUAACCGUAUAGGGGAGCCGCAGGGAAACCGAGUCUUAACUGGGCGUUAAGUUGCAGGGUAUAGACCCGAAACCCGGUGAUCUAGCCAUGGGCAGGUUGAAGGUUGGGUAACACUAACUGGAGGACCGAACCGACUAAUGUUGAAAAAUUAGCGGAUGACUUGUGGCUGGGGGUGAAAGGCCAAUCAAACCGGGAGAUAGCUGGUUCUCCCCGAAAGCUAUUUAGGUAGCGCCUCGUGAACUCAUCUUCGGGGGUAGAGCACUGUUUCGGCUAGGGGGUCAUCCCGAC